AAGUUGCUAAAAACUGUGGGACACGAAGGGGGCGUGUACAGCACCUCAGCUAACUGUAGGGGAAGGUCAGUGUUUAAAGUGCAAAAUUAAGCCACGAAAAUGAAGCAGCACAAAUUAUCCGCCGGGAAACGGCUCGCCAAACCGAUCCUGUUCGGGACGAUCAUCGUUGGACUCGCUGCUGCUUUCAUUAACAGACACAGGUUUUUCGAGGACGUCGUUGAACUCAGGGCUCAGGAGCGAGCGCGCAACGACACCAAGAGGUUGGAGGUCCUGGAGAGGCGGCAGAAGCAGAUCGACGAGCUGACCGAGAAGAAGCAGCAAGGAGGGAGCGGCUGAAGGCGGCAGCAGCCUGAACCUCAGUGCCUCUGCAGCAGACUGUGAUACAGAGCAGGUCUCCACAGGUGGACGCUGCACAUGUCCACAUGUGCAAAGAUGGCUUUGCUGAAUAUUUUUACUGAGGCCUGCUUACAGUAAUGGAUUUAUUGAAGUAACCCUCACAGAUUUGUAUAGACAUCUGGGCUGGACACAACACUGUCCAAGAUGCCCAGUAAAGGAGCUUGACCAGCAUCUUCCUUUACUUACUUGUUUUUCCAGCAGGGGGCAGAGUUGACUGCAACCUAAUGGACUGUAUGAAUGAAACUCUCUUCAAUUAUUAAUUAUUUGUGCUAUACAUUAUUAAAGAUCAUUUAUUUAAAAUGCACACUGUGGAGGUUUUCAUUUGUAUUUCAUUGGUGUGACUUUAUUGUAGUCAGGAUUAAAAGUCAAAGCACAGACGCUAAUCCCGUUCAACAAACAUCAGCUCUGCCUUCAGUUUUUGCUCAGUGAAGCAGGAAAAUCAAACUCCUUGGUGUUGGGAUGUAUUCAGUCUGAUGGCUGUAACACGACUAAAAUCCCUUAUACUUGUAUUUUCAGUAAUAACUGACGCUGAACUGUCAAAAUAAAGGUUUUAAAUUCAC